GAAGCCGGGGCGGACUGAGCGCGCGGUGUACCUGCAGGAAGUUGGCAGCGGAAACCGGGAUAGCGGUGGAGAAGAGAAGUAAGAAACUCCAAAUUGAUCAAAGGUACAGUAUUUAAUCUUCUGUUUGCCCCAGUAAAAUAACUCCCGUGGUAAAGCGGCAUUCAGAGGGGGUAGAUUGGGACAAGAGAAUGUUUUCCAUUUCAUGUGUAUUUUACCUCCAUGGCUCCAAUUUGUGGUUUUGUUGUUUUUUCCAUUGAGAAUAAAAAACUGGUAGUUUUUUUUUUUUUUCCUCAGAUGACUGUUUCAUUGAGGAGUAGGUUAUUAUUUAGAGUUAUGUUACUGUUUCUCCUUGGUUCGGACUUUAUCUGGUGUAUUUGACUGCUUCCCCCCCACCCCGCCCCGGUGGAAGCACCUGAGGAGACCGUCCACUGGGAGCUUUCUGCCGACAACUGUGGUGAUUUUUCUUCCCAUCCUUUGAGGAUGACCAGUCUACUCUGAGCCAUCGUCACAUGCAGCAGGAAGCAGUGUGGUUCAGGAAGGACCAUGGGCACUGCUCAGCAUCCUCCCCUAUUCCUGCUUGCCAGGCACUUGACAGGACAGGAAACUACACAGCACACCAGUGUCUGCCCAUGCAAACUAUUUAAGAAAAAGUUCAACCCAGGUCUUGUAUCCUGUGAUUUAGCAGUUGAGUGAAUUCACAAUUUGUAAAAAUCAUGUUAACCUGCUAAUCGCACACUUGGUUAUGACAUUAUGGAGAAAUUUUAGGGGCUUUCUGGCUGACUUAUAUGUCAGGGAUAUGGGUACAUUUUUUAAACAUAUCUUUUUUUUUUUUUUUUUUUUGAUGUGGCCCAUCUUUUAAAGUCUUUAUUGAAUUUGUUACAAUAUUGCUUCUGUUUUAUGUUUUGGUUUUUUGGCCACAAGGCAUGUGGGAUCUUGACUCCCCGACCAGGGAUCGAACCUGCACCCCCUGCAUUGGAAGGUGAAGCCUCAACCACUGGACCGCCAGGGAAGUCCCUAAAACUUAUAUCUUUAGAAAAUGUUUUGUAUGUAUUAUGAGAUGCCACUGUAAGACAAUUUAUUGAAAGAAAAAUCUUUGGUUAUUGUGUAACAGAGGUGGUGUGACUUGAUGCUCCUCCAGGAAGGCAAGGAAGAGUUGCCUUGAAUAAGAAUUGAUAUGUAAUUGCUGUAAUCAUUAAGUUGCAUGAUCACAUGGGCCCACACUGGGGUAGAAAAGAAGAACAAAGGAGUAUUGAGGAGCUGGAAAGGGAACAUUCAAGCUAAAACUAAGCCAGAAGAUAACUUGGGUCAAUUAAAAGUACGUUGGCAGUCCCCAAAACUGAAUGAAAAACAUCUGGCUUAGAAGAAAUGUUAAAGAACGAUAUUCUUAAGUAAAAUUUGUGUUUUUUUGAUAUUUUUAGGGUAAAGACCACUGCAAAAGGUAUGUUUUUCUAUUUCAUAUUGGUUGUCUUUUCCUGUUUAUAUCUGGACUUGUUUUUGUUCAGAGCCAGAGGAAAAGAUUUUCAGACUUCGUCUCAACCAUCCAUGAAAUCCAUCCAAUACCCAGGGCUUCUUUUGAUCUCCUGCUAAUAUCAUGUCACUUUGUAUUAUAAAAACCACUUUUGGGUCCAUUUACUAUUAUUCUGCUGCCUACAUAAACAACCAGGUAGAGCUUGUGUGAGUUUGCAGAGGUUUUUUUCUAAACAAUAAAGUAAUAUAGUAUGUUAGCCGAAUCCCUCAAAAAGGACUUUUGUUUUAAGAAGUAGACAGGAAUUCUUGAAACAGGCUUGACAUUGGUGGGUUGUGAAAACCCCUCUGGAGAGACAGUGGAGCCAGUCCCUGUUGGCCGGCCGGGCCUCCUGGGAUGUCUCUGGGGUGUUUGAUUGUUUAUUCCCAAGGAAGGCUCACUGCUGCCGCUCACCAUACUGUACACAUAAUGGCUGGAGAGCACAAGAGGAGGAGAUGAGGGGAAAUUAGUGCACCCAAAAUAGGGAUGUUAGUGCUGGGUCCCAAAAUUUCCUGCCCCUGUCUCUCAGGAAUUGGUUUUGGUUUCCAAAUGACUUACAUCUGUAAAGACAGGAAAGUGGUACAGAUAAAGUUUAUACUGUGUUUAGUUCUAAUUUGACCACCUAAGCAGCAACAAAAAUGCAUUGGAACCUAUAAUUUGAGCCGUAAAGUUCUUUCAGCCAUUGUCACAAAUCCACACGUUGUGAAAUAAGAAUAUUGUUGAGUAUAUACUCAGUUCCCAAGUGGAGCAGUGAAAAAUGCUUUACAGGCCAGAUAUAUUAUUACUUACAUAGUAUCUCAUGCUUAAAAUCUUAAGUGAUACCUAUCUGAUUAAAUUCCAUUUUAGAAACGCAGAACUUUAAUGUUCAUUACUUCCUUCUCCAGGAGGAAUGGAUUCAGACAUGUCUUGUCUCAACAGGAGAUUGAUCUUUUUUUUUUCUUCUUUUUUUUUAACCAUCUCGUUCUUUUGCCAAAUACCACAGAAGUAAUGGGAAGUUUAGUCACAUUUGAUGGUUGUGCCCUGGAAGAGCUUGGGUUUGGAAUUUGUGGGGGUGAUCUCAAAGGGAGGUUUCAAGAGAGGUAUUUGUCAAGUCACCUACCCUACAUCCAGCAUCCCACUCAUGAAUUUUAGGAGCUGCUUUGUGCCUAUACCUAUACUCUACAUUUGCUAUUUAGGCAAAACAUUAUUAUGAUUAUUUAAUUUCCUUUUGACUUCACCCUCUGAGCAAGUAAUAUUAACAUUCCUUUUGUGUAUUCAGUAAUGAAGUUUGUUUACCUAUUUUAUUUCAGCAUAUUUGGAACAAAGAUCUUUGUCUCUUUCUGCUGGAAUGUGCACACAGUGAAUGUUUGUUAGAACUACACACAAUAAAGAUACUGUUUUCCUUUUCUC